UACGGAGGGGGCUAGCGUUGUUCGGAAUUACUGGGCGUAAAGCGCACGUAGGCGGCUUUGUAAGUUAGAGGUGAAAGCCCGGAGCUCAACUCCGGAAUUGCCUUUAAGACUGCAUCGCUUGAAUCAUGGAGAGGUGAGUGGAAUUCCGAGUGUAGAGGUGAAAUUCGUAGAUAUUCGGAAGAACACCAGUGGCGAAGGCGACUCACUGGACAUGUAUUGACGCUGAGGUGCGAAAGCGUGGGGAGCGAGCCGG
rnacentral:rRNA from 1 species